GGACUCAGAAAGGCAAAACAGCUUGCUCAAGGGCUCACAACUAUUUAGGUGGUAGAGCUAAGAUAUGAACCUACCUCUGACACCAAAGUGCACUUCAACACCCUACUAUCACCCAACAAAGAAUUCUGGCCACAGAAUCACCUUGCUGCGGUAUUCCUGACUGAAUCAAGAUACGCUGGGGAAGAGGCAUCUGAAGAUAGCCCGGGUUCUGACCUCGGCCCUGCUGCCUAACUGCCUGGUGACUUCAGGUAUUCUAAUCACAGAAUUACUGGAGCAUCAAGAAGUGCCUGCAUGCUUGGAAGGGCUUCCAGGCAGAUGAACACACCUCAGCACCGGGUGGCAUUUUCCCAGGGUGCAACCCGGACCGGCUCUGGGUCACACUGACAAGGACAACAGGGUUAACAAUUUCCAGAGACAGCCCGUACAUAGAAGGAAUGUUUACUGAAAAAAAUGAAGAGGGGUCAGGGCAAGGCGAGGAGCAAGAAGCACCCCCAAGGAAACAGAGAAGACCAGUACAACUGUACCUCUUUGCCAGCUGCACCAUCCGUACCAGUCUCCUGGGGUGGAAGUGUCCAGCACAGAGACUGCCACACUGCAAGACGAAGGGGCUGGACACACGGAAGAGAGAGGCGGAACCCUGCACCCCCUCAACCUCAGCCCUACUGAGUCUCCAAUGGGGCCACGCUUCUGAGUGCACCUCCCCGUGUCAUCUGUAAUGUGAGGGGGAACCAGGCUUGAUAUGGCAUUCCCAAUCCAGGGC
rnacentral:lncRNA from 1 species